rnacentral:sRNA from 1 species
GCCUAGAUGGCAUGUGUAUGAUUGAGUACAAGAACUCGAACCACAACUGGAUCUUGAAAGCCAAAGUAGUGUUUCCUUGUUAGAAGAUGCAACGCCAAUUACUCAUACGGACUUCGGCUACACCGUCAAAGCUUUGAGAAGCAAGAAGAAUCUUGGUUUGUGUUUUGGAGUUAAAUAUAAAGUGAUGUGAUGUCUAUGGUUGAAUAUUAGAACUUGAACCGCAAACGGAUCCAAAAAGGAAAAGUAGUGUU